GGAGGGGCUAGCGGCUAAAUCCUGUCCUGCUUCCUGUCUGUACAUGCUUCUACCACAGUGACAUUCUACCUAAACCACAGGUCCAGACUCAAAGGAGUCAAGGACUACAGACAGAAACUGUGAGGCAAGGUAAGCUUUCUCCAUUCAAGAGGUUCCUCUUAGAUAUUUAGUUACAGCAAUGAAAGCCUACCAAUUGUCUUUUUCAGAAUUCUUGGUUAACUUUCCUGACAUAUAUAAGACCACCCCGAUGUGUUGUGGCUGUGCCCAUCUGUUUGAGACUCUUCAAACACCUCCUAAUUUGUUUCAAAAAGAUUUAUGACAUGUCUGAAUCCAUGCCUGAUAUUUUAGAUUCAACCUGACCUGUUUGAGCCUUUAUAAUAGCUCAUCUAACAGCUUUCCUAAGGAACUUUUUGACAUCUUUGAGAGCCUAAGUUGUUUGAAACCCUGAUUGAUUUAGUGGAUGAAUUUCCUGGUGUAGCUAACUAAGACUCUUUCUAAUAUAUUAGCAAAUCUUAUUGACUACUGGAGCUAUGCGUUAUGACUUCCCCAUAAAACAUUUGAGACUUUCUUGACUUGCUGAGACUCUUCCUAACAACUUGAGGCCCAUCAUGAGAUAACGAGAACUUCAUAUCAGUUUUAGAUCGUUCCUUUUGUGUUUGAAAUCAUCCCUUGCCUAGUGGACACUAUUUCUGAUUUGUUAAAUGCCUUUCUCACAUGGCAGAGACACUCCUUAGGGUGUUAGAAAUAGCGACUGAUAUAAUUAAUCUCUUCCUGUGAGUCCGAAACACUUUCAGAUAGAUCAAAGGCUCUUCCUAUAGUAAGCCCUUUUCUACAUGUCCGAGACUUGUACAGAUGACUUUCACACUCUUCCUGACUUGUUUAUUAUCAUACCCAGAGUCUCUGUGACACUUAAGAGAACUUGCCAACAUGUUGGACAUCUUUCCUGACUUCUUAGGCCUGUUUCUGAUGACUCAAAGAUACUCUGUAGCUUGUCUGACACCCUCCAUGUAUAGAUUCCUUUUAUGUGUUUGAGAUUCUUCCUAUUUUAGUAUUUCUGCUCAGCCUAAUGAUUGUGACAUGCUCCCUUACACUUAUAAACCCAUUUGUGACACAGUUGUACCCUUUCCCAAUAUUCAAGACACUGUCGGGCAUGUUUGACAUCCUAGCUGCUUUUUUGAGACCCUUCAGAUUUACUGACAGAUCUGAGAACUUUCUUGACUCUGUGGGUGUAGCCCAUUCCUGACAUUUUCCCAAGUCCUCCUGCUUUGGGUGAGACUGUUCGUGACAUGUUAGACAUCUCUUCUGAGUUACUUGAGAGCCUUCACAACUUAUAUGAAAGCUUC
rnacentral:lncRNA from 1 species